rnacentral:rRNA from 1 species
UCCGUAGGGUGCGAGCGUUGUCCGGAAUUAUUGGGCGUAAAGGGCUCGUAGGCGGUUUGUCGCGUCGGGGGUGAAAUCCACUGGCUUAACUGGUGGCUUGCUUUCGAUACGGGCAGACUGGAGGUAUGCAGGGGAGAACGGAAUUCCUGGUGUAGCGGUGAAAUGCGCAGAUAUCAGGAGGAACACCGGUGGCGAAGGCGGUUCUCUGGGCAUGUCCUGACGCUGAGGAGCGAAAGUGUGGGGAGCGAACAGG